CAAUCUCAAUCUCCCAAUUCCUCCCAACCGCCUUCCCCCAUUGGUAUCCAUAUAUUUGUGCUCUGCUUUCUGAAUAAGAUCAUCUAUACCAAAUUUUGUGGUACAUAUACACAAUGGAAUGUUGCUCAGGCAUAAAAAAAAUAAAAUUGAGUCACUUGUAGAGAUGUGGAUGAACCUANNNNNNNNNNNNNNNNNNNNNNNNNNNNNNNNNAAAAAACAAAUAUCCUAGUUACCACAUAUAUCUGAAAUCUGGAAAAAAUGGUCUAUUGUGAUUUUAAAAUAAAAAACUAAGGUGCUUAGAACAACAGAAGUCUCUGUGAUUCUCAGCUACCCAUCUGUAAAAUGGGGAUAUUACUGGUACCUGCUUUAUAUACUGCUGCUGUGAAAAUCAGGUAACAUAGAUGUAGCACCUCUUGUUUUCACCAGCCCAGCAUCCUUCUGCACUUUGUUACAGAAGCACAUCUUCCUUCUUGGGUACCAUUUAUCUACAGUGUAGUCACUGCGGUGGGUGUAUUCUCAUGUGCCCUCAUUUUAUGUGAUCUCAUCCUUAUGCCUGUAUUACAGACAAGGAAGCUGAGCCUUUAAGAGGUAACGUGACUUGUUCAAGAUGAGAUGGCUGGUGCAUGGCAGAGCUGGAAUCGGGAGUCUGCCCUAAAGUCCAUUUUCCUUUGAUGAAAGUGCUAUAAGUAGAGAGGCAAAGAUUUGGGGGUUGUGGCAAGAGGAGAAUAAAAUUAUGCAGGGAAGAUGAGGAUUUUCUGUGUGUGAGACUUGCUGCUGUUCUCAGAAAUGCCUUUGAGGGAGAGCUGCAGCUUCUGCCUCCUGAUUUCAGGCAAAACAACCCCUUUGUUCCAUUUUACGGGGGAAUCUGCCUGCAAUUCAGGAGACAUGGGUUCAAUCCCUGGGUCAGAAAGAUCUCCUAGAGAAGGAAAUAGCAACCCACUCCAGUAUUCCGGCCUGGAGAAUCUGUCCAUGAGCUUGGCAGGCUACAGUCCUUGGGGACAUAAAGCAUCGGAUAUGACUUAGUGACUAAGCAAACACACACACACACACAACCCCACUUUUAGUCUUGCUUCAGUGUCCUUCCCAGUAGCCUUGUCCUGCUUAUCUUCAAAAGGAAAUCAGCCCCAUCAGUACAUAAAUCUCAAGUGCUGCACAACCUCUCAUACUCCUCACUCCUAGUUUGGAUUUCUCUCUAUCAAGUUAUGGGGGUGGGGACUUCCCUGGUGGUCCAGUGGUUAAGAUUCCACUCUCCCCCUUCAGGGGUCUGGGUUUGAUCCCUGGUCGAGGAACUAAGAUCCCACAUGCUUUGAAGCCAAAAAGAAAUAAAAUGUCUUGAACUGAAUAAAAAUGAAAAUACAACAAAUCAACUUAAAAAAUUAAAAAAUUAUGGGA
rnacentral:lncRNA from 1 species